AUGGAGGCUGAGCUCAGUGGUGACCAGCAUAUCCUGCCCAGGGCUGUGCCUACUCCCCGCUGGGCACUUAGCAGCCUGGCAGGGCAGCCACAUGGCACACGCUGCCCACAGCAACUACUUCAGGAGCUUGGCAGGCCGUGCCUGUGUCAAGGUGGCCACACCACCACGAUCCAACUCUGGACAUCAUGCAACAAAUUCCAAAGGCCCAGGAGAUGGCCACGACAAGCUCCCAUGUCUGAUCCACUAGAACAUUCCCGUAGGGUGGGCGUUUGCUCGGGUUGCCAUUUUAGUUCAAAUGGGCCUGGACUGACAGCAGCUUACAGGCCGCCCUCUGCUGCAGAGCCAGGGUGUCCCCCGGAGCCCAACACUGAACUCAGCUUGCCGGCCCAGGGCACGCCUUCCCCACAGGAGAGCUGCCAGCAGAGUCACUCUGUGAACGACGAUCCAGUCAUUUUCUUUUUUUUUUUUUUAAUUUUUUUUUUUAAUUUAUUUAUGAUAGUCACAGAGAGAGAGAAAGAGAGAGGCAGAGACACAGGCAGAGGGAGAAGCAGGCUCCAUGCACCGGGAGCCCGACGUGGGAUUCGAUCCCGGGUCUCCAGGAUCGCGCCCUGGGCCAAAGGCAGGCGCCAAACCGCUGCGCCACCCAGGGAUCCCCGAUCCAGUCAUUUUCAUGCCACUGUUUCCAAUACUAACACCCUGAGAGUGGGACCAGCUGGGACAGGCCCUGAGCUCAGCGCAGCGCACACCUUCACCGAUCUGCUGGGGAGGACCCUGAGGCAUGAGAGGCCACGAGGCCUGCCUCCUCGGGUGUGCAGCAGGACUCCUAGCUCAAGCAUCUACAGUCUCCGCCCCCCCACCUCCGCCAAAAGUCUACACACUGCAGGUUCUGAUGCAGCUUCCUGCAGGGCUCUCUUUGAGAUAAAGGCAAAUUCAAGGCCAGCAGCUGUCUGCGAUAGGUCUGACCCACCUCUCACCCCACUCCGAUCUACUUUCCAAACCCACAGAAGGUCCCCCAAACACACUCUCCAUCCUUUCCCACCUCUUGGCCCACCUGUGGGUCUUGCACUCUCCAAGCCACUGCCCGGGGAGCCCUGCACACAGUGUUCACAGAGGGUCAGGCAUGCUUCUCCAUGA
rnacentral:lncRNA from 1 species